UUUCAAAGCGAUAUUAAACGUCAGAAGAAGAUGCGAUUUAGACUUAAACAUAGCUAUGUUGGAGUACAACUGUUCGUUUUUUCCUGAAAAAUAUUUUAUUUAAAUUCCAGUUCAGCAAUAGUACGUAUAAAUACAGCGUUAAUCCAGAUUUAUAAUGGUUAGUUUUUGCGCAGUUGUUGGUUGUUCCAAUCGAGCUGAUAGGGAAAGAGACAAGUCGUUCUUUCGUUUGCCAAAGACCAUUAGACACCAAGGAGAACAAACGCUGAGGUUUUCAGAGGAAAGAAGAGCUAAGUGGAUAUCCUGGAUAAGCAGGCAAGAUCUGACACCUAAAAAAAUGGAACAUAUAAGAAUUUGUUCGGAUCAUUUUGUCACUGGUCAACCAUCAAAGCUUUAUAUGAAAACCGAUAUUGACUGGGUACCAUCAAAGCUGCGUGGACAUCAGAAGAUUGACGUGAAAGGACUACAGGAGGGCAAUACGAGAAUUGGGGGGAGAAAAAGGAAAAUGCCUUUGUUACCACUCAAGGAUGAGAUUUUUGAGAUUGUGAUAAAGGAGGAAAAUGUAGAAGCGCCUUGUAGCGAGCAACAGUUUAUUGAGGUUUAUGAAGAUACAACGUUCAAGAAUGUUUCGGAUCAUUUUGUCUCUGGUCAACCAUCAAAGCUUUAUAUGAAAACCGAUAUUGACUGGCUACCAUCAAAGCUGCUUGGACAUCAGAAGAUUGACGUGAAAGGACUACAGGAGGGCAAUACGAGAAUUGGGGGGAGAAAAAGGAAAAUACCUUUGUUACCACUCAAGGAUGAGAUUUUUGAGAUUGUGAUAAAGGAGGAAAAUGUAGAAGCGCCUUGUAGCGAGCAACAGUUUAUUGAGGUUUAUGAAGAUACAACGUUCACGAAUGUGUCCUGUCAGACUGAAUUAACCUCCAGAGACAUUUCAAGUAUGGAGGACGAUUUGUCCCUUUAAGCAACGUUUAUGGAAUUACUGUAAGUGCACAUGAGGUAUUUCAUUUAAGCUAAUAUUUUUUUAAUAAAACUACAUUUGCUUUAAAAAAA